UACGGGGGGGGCAAGCGUUGUUCGGAAUUACUGGGCGUAAAGGGCGCGUAGGCGGUUUGCUAAGUUGGAUGUGAAAACUCUGGGCUUAACCCAGAGCCUGCAUCCAAAACUGGCGAACUGGAGUACUGGAGGGGAAAGCGGAAUUCCUGGUGUAGCGGUGAAAUGCGUAGAUAUCAGGAGGAACACCGGUGGCGAAGGCGGCCUUCUGGACAGUAACUGACGCUGAGGCGCGAAAGCUAGGGGAGCAAACAGG
rnacentral:rRNA from 1 species